rnacentral:rRNA from 1 species
AGUACGGUCGCAAGACUAAAACUCAAAUGAAUUGACGGGGGCCCGCACAAGCGGUGGAGCAUGUGGUUUAAUUCGAUGCAACGCGAAGAACCUUACCUGGCCUUGACAUACUAGAAACUUUCCAGAGAUGGAUUGGUGCCUUCGGGAAUCUAGAUACAGGUGCUGCAUGGCUGUCGUCAGCUCGUGUCGUGAGAUGUUGGGUUAAGUCCCGCAACGAGCGCAACCCUUUUCCUUACUUGCCAGCAUUUCGGAUGGGAACUUUAAGGAUACUGCCAGUGACAAACUGGAGGAAGGCGGGGACGACGUCAAGUCAUCAUGGCCCUUACGGCCAGGGCUACACACGUGCUACAAUGGUCGGUACAAAGGGUUGCUACCUAGCGAUAGGAUGCUAAUCUCAAAAAGCCGAUCGUAGUCCGGAUUGGAGUCUGCAACUCGACUCCAUGAAGUCGGAAACGCUAGUAAUCGCGGAUCAGAAUGCCGCGGUGAAUACGUUCCCGGGCCUUGUACACACCGCCCGUCACACCAUGGGAGUUUG